UAAUACGUAGGAGGCUAGCGUUAUUCGGAUUUAUUGGGCGUAAAGAGGACGUAGGCGGUCUUGCAAGUCGGAUGUAAAAUCUCUCGGCUUAACCGGGAGGGACUGUUCGAUACUGCUGGGCUAGAGGGCAGCAGAGGGAGGUGGAAUUCCCGGUGUAGUGGUGAAAUGCGUAGAUAUCGGGAGGAUCACCAGUGGCGAAGGCGGCCUCCUGGGCUGUUACUGACGCUGAGGUCCGAAAGCAUGGGGAGCGAACAGGAUUAGAUACCCUGGUAGUCCACGCCGUAAACUAUGGACACUAGGUAUGGAGAGUAUCGACCCUCUCCGUGCCGAAGCUAACGCAUUAAGUGUCCCGCCUGGGGACUACGGCCGCAAGGCUA
rnacentral:rRNA from 1 species